AACGAACGUUGGCGGCAUGGAUUAGGCAUGCAAGUCGAACGAAUGCCGGGGUAGCAAUACCUCGGCGGAAGUGGCGAAAGGGGCAGUAAUACAUGAACAACCUACCCUGGGGUUGGGCAUAGCCGUUCUAACGGACGGGUAAUUCCCAGCGAUUCGGCGAUGCGGGCCUCCGCGUUCCGGGAAACAAUUUCGCCUCGGGAGGGGUUCAUGAGCUAUCAGCUUGUUGGCGGGGUAACGGCCCACCAAGGCUAAGACGGCUAGCGGGUGUGAGAGCACGACCCGCGCCACUGGCACUGAGACACUGGCCAGACACCUACGGGUGGCUGCAGUCGAGGAUCUUCGUCAAUGGGCGCAAGCCUGAACGAGCGAUGCCGCGUGAGCGAUGAAGGCCUUCGGGUUGUAAAGCUCAAAAGGGAUGAGAAAGGGCAACUUGAUCGAAUCCCAGUAAGCUCGGGCUAAGUUCGUGCCAGCAGCCGCGGUAAAAC
rnacentral:rRNA from 1 species